UUGGGGUAUGUUGCAAUUAGUAUAUCAUCAGGCCUGGUGUGAAAGCUUUGCAUGUUCUCCCAGUUGUCUGUGUAAAAGUGAGUCAUGCAGACUCCAAGGAAGUCAAACAUUUCUGGUCGAGAGAGCUU